CUCCUAUUUAUUUCCUUAGAAACUACAACAGAUACAAAGAGCACAAUAACACUGUUAAAACAAAGUCUCAGCUAUAAUACACUAUUUUCAACAUAGUCACCACCAUUAGCUAUGUUUUUUCUCCAAUGAUGAACAAGAGUCUGCAUGCCACACUUGUAAAUAUUUGCACCAGCGAAGGUGACCCAUUGUUUCACAGCUGCUAAGAUGGUGUUGUUGCUAGGAAAAUGUUGUAAAUACAGUUCAUCUUUCAUAGGUGCAAAGAGAUGGAAUUCAGAAGGUGCCAAAUCCGGACUAUACAUACAAUUCACGGUUCUGGAAGAAUGCAGAAGGCAAAAGAACAAGAAAUAACAAGUUGAAUACGUGUUAUGGGUGUAAUCCUUCUGGGAUGUGUGUGUCCAUGAAGUUCAGGAUGUCCAUUUUUUAAAUUUUCCCUCUCCCUCUCUGAAUGUUUUUCUUUGUUGUCACUCAGAUAUACUAGACAGAUGUUUGCAUAUAUAUUCUGAAAGAAAAUGCGUUACUUGAUUCAUUUAUAUGAUUUAGCCAUGGAUACUGAUUAAUAUGAAAUUGUAUUUUAUAAUAAAAUACAGCUGCCAAAGAAGUGAAAAUAAGGAAUGAUGAAUGAAUAUUUACACAAUACUGUUUAACUAUUUUCCUGUAAAAGAUUCAAAUAGGAAGUAGUGGAUGGUAAGUAAAGAUGAAGAGCAGUUGAGAACUGAUGAAAACUGCCAUCAAAAAGUCUCAGCCAGCUAGUUUCAGGAGAACAAAUUUCUGAGAAUGAAUUUCUGAAGACAACUGCAUUAAUACUUGUGAGGUAUAUAUACAAUACAUAUACUAUGCAAAUCUUUUUUAAAAAAGUUAGUAAUUCCUUAAUCAUUGCAGAUUUUAAAUGCUAUAUAUUGUAAAUAAUAUGUAGACCAUCACCAGAUGGCAAUAAAAAGAAGUUUAGUUAACUUUACAUUGUAUAGGUAUAAAUACCUCUACUUUGAACAUCACACCUCCUAGGUACUGAAAGAAGGAAAGGGUCUUAUGAAAAUUACUAUUCUUAAGCUACCUGACAUUAGUUAUAUUUAUGCUGUUUUGCAUAGAAGGGCUUGAUUCAAGGUUACUUGGACAGCCCAAAUUUUCAUGUUUUU
ensembl:lncRNA